rnacentral:rRNA from 1 species
GAUGAACGCUAGCGGAGGCCUAAUACAUGCAAGUCGAACGGUAACAGGUAGCAAUACGCUGACGAGUGGCGCACGGGUGCGUAACGCGUACACAAUCUGCCUUAUACUGGGGCAUAGCCUUUGGAAACGAAGAAUAAUUCCCCAUAAUAUAUAGAAGAGGCAUCUCUUUCAUAUUAAAGCUCAGGCGGUAUAAGAUGAGUGUGCGUCCGAUUAGGUAGUUGGUGAGGUAACGGCUCACCAAGCCAACGAUCGGUAGCUGGUCUGAGAGGAUGAUCAGCCACACGGGCACUGAGACACGGGCCCGACUCCUACGGGAGGCAGCAGUAGGGAAUAUUGGACAAUGGGCGCAAGCCUGAUCCAGCCAUCCCGCGUGAAGGAUGAAGGUCCUCUGGAUUGUAAACUUCUUUUCUUCGGGAAUAAAAACUGGGGUUCUCCUCAGCUUGAAGGUACCGAAGGAAUAAGCACCGGCUAACUCCGUG